rnacentral:rRNA from 1 species
CAGCCGUAAACUAUGCGCGUUAGGUGUAUCGGUGACCACGAGUUACCGAGGUGCCGAAGGGAAACCGUGAAACGUGCCGCCUGGGAAGUACGGUCGCAAGGCUGAAACUUAAAGGAAUUGGCGGGGGAGCACCACAACAGGUGGAGCCUGCGGCUUAAUUGGACUCAACGCCGGGAAGCUCACCGGAUAGGACAGCAGAAUGAUUGCCGGGCUGAAGACCCUGCAUGACUAGCUGAGAGGAGGUGCAUGGCGUAGACGUCU